CCUACGGGGGGCAGCAGUGGGGAAUAUUGCGCAAUGGGCGAAAGCCUGACGCAGCGACGCCGCGUGAGGGAUGAAGGUCUUCGGAUCGUAAACCUCUGUCAGCAGGGAAGAACGGUCACUGUGCUAAUCAGCAGUGAAUUGACGGUACCUGCAAAGGAAGCACCGGCUAACUCCGUGCCAGCAGCCGCGGUAAUACGGAGGGUGCGAGCGUUAAUCGGAAUUACUGGGCGUAAAGCGCUCGUAGGCGGUAUGUCAAGUCAAGGGUGAAAUCCCCGCGCUCAACGUGGGAACUGCCUUUGAAACUGGCAAACUGGAGUGGGUGAGAGGAUAGUGGAAUUCCAGGUGUAGGAGUGAAAUGCGUAGAUAUCUGGAGGAACAUCAGUGGCGAAGGCGACUAUCUGGCACAUAACUGACGCUGAGGAGCGAAAGCGUGGGUAGCAAACAGGAUUAGAUACCCGGGUAGUC
rnacentral:rRNA from 1 species